UACGAAGGUGGCAAGCGUUGUUCGGAAUCACUGGGCUUAAAGCGUACGUAGGCGGAUUAUCAAGUGUCCUUUGAAAUCCCUCGGCUUAACCGAGGAACUGGGGGGCAAACUGAUGAUCUUGAGGCAUGUAGGGGUGUGUGGAACUCUUGGUGGAGCGGUGGAAUGCGUAGAUAUCAAGAGGAACGCCAGCGGAGAAAUCGGCACACUGGGCAUGUCCUGACGCUGAGGUACGAAAGCAUGGGUAGCGAACGGG
rnacentral:rRNA from 1 species